GGGUGAUUAGCUCAGCUGGGAGAGCACCUCCCUAACAAAGUUGGUAGAGCAGUUGACUUUUAAUCAAUUGGUCGCAGGUUCGAAUCCUGCACGACCCACCA
rnacentral:tRNA from 1 species